rnacentral:lncRNA from 1 species
CGCUCGCUGAGGCAAGAGGAGGGCACUCGGCCCGCGGCCUGACAGGGACUUAGCCCACAGAGACCGGCCCGCGCGCGCGACCCCACACCCACCCACUCGUCCACCUACCCACUCCCCGCGCCGCCUCCUCCCACCCUGAGCAGAGCCACCGAGGAUGAUAAACACCCAGGACAGUAGUAUUUUGCCGUUGAGUAAGUGUCCCCAGCUCCAGUGCUGCAGGCACAUUGUUCCAGGGCCUCUGUGGUGCUCCUGAUGCCCCUCACCCACUGUCGAAGAUCCCCGGUGGGCGAGGGGGCGGCAGGGAUCCUUCUCUCUCAGCUCUAAUAUAUAAGCUCCACUCCUGAAGACGUUCAGCUUCUUGGGCUUUGAGAUUGUGCGUCCAGGUCAUCCCUGUGUCCCCUCUCGGCCAGAUGUGAUGUUUAUGGUUUACCCCCUGGACCAGAACUUGUCUGAUGAGGACUAAUGGUCACAGAGGAUGCUUUGCCUAAGAGCCACAGUGGGGGAAGAGGGGAAGUUAGGCAGCCUUGGGACAGAGGAGAGGGUCUCUGGCUGUCUAGGGAAGGACAUUGAGGGGCUCAGGUUGAGGGUUGCCCAUUGUGUUCUCGGAGUUGACUCGUUGAAAUUGUUUUCCAUAAAGAACAGUAUAAGCAUAUUAUUCACAUGUAAUCACCAAUAGUAAAUGAAGAUGUUUAUGAACUGGCAUUAGAAGCUUUUUAAACUGCGCUGUGAUGUGCUCCAUCUACCCUAGGGGAGGACAUUGCCUGCAGGGGCGGGACUGCCGGGCCCAGGACAGGCCUGGAGGGCUGGUGGGCAGGACUGUCAGGCUCAGGUCUCCUUGGAGUUGGGCUUUCUUCUUUUGGUUUUGAAGACUUAGGUAUUUUCUUUCUUUGCUUCUUGUCAUCUAGGGGCUCCUGAGUAUAGGCUUUAGCUCCUGGGCAGUGUCCUUGGGUUGUCUUCAACACUCCACCUUGAGCUUCUGGCAUUUUGUGUCUGGCCUGGUGUAAGCAGGUCUGACCUUGCUUUCUUUACAGCUUAGUGUUAUUCUGGCAUUUGGUUAAGCUGGCUUAAUCUGUUUAAUGUUACCAGUGCAUUUUAAAUAGGGGCAUUGAAACUCACUCCCCCACACCAGGGCUUUUUGGGGGGUGCCUGGGCCUUAAGAAACUAGCCAAACUACAUCUCAAGUUACCACCAGAGCUCUUGCCUCUGUGGCCUAGGCCCCAGGAUCUCUUUCCUUGCAAGAGCAGAGAGGAAGAAUACCAAACUCAGGGCCUGGGGUUUGUGGGGGAGCCUGUUCUUAGCGCCUGGAUGCCUCUGGCUGGCCAAGCACAGUACUGCCUGCCUCCUUAACAGGUUCAGAACAGUGCCUGCGCUGCAGAGCUGAGAGGUAGGGCUGGACUGCAGAAAUGGCCUGCCUUUUACUGCUUUCACCAAACAGCUUGUUCUAAAGAGAAAAGGGAGAGAGAUCUACAUUGGGUGUGGGGGUGUCAGGGAGACAAGUGUGUUG